rnacentral:rRNA from 1 species
UACGGAGGGUGCAAGCGUUAUCCGGAUUUACUGGGUUUAAAGGGUGCGUAGGUGGGUAGGUAAGUCAGUGGUGAAAUCUUCGAGCUUAACUCGGAAACUGCCAUUGAUACUAUUUAUCUUGAAUACUUUGGAGGUAAGCGGAAUAUGUCAUGUAGCGGUGAAAUGCUUAGAUAUGACAUAGAACACCAAUUGCGAAGGCAGCUUACUACACAGUUAUUGACACUGAGGCACGAAAGCGUGGGGAGCGAACAGG